GGGUUAUCACACUUGAUGCAACCAAACAUCCUCAUCUCAUCGUAGCAAUUGACUUACUUUUAUUUGAAACUUUUGGGCAUGUUAAACAACUACAAGGUGGUUCUUCUGAA